UUUAAUGCACAUUUUUUUAAAGAGCAGAAAGCAAAUCAAGAUGCAUUGAGAACUCUAUCAGGCAUGUAAAUAAACCCACAACUAACGAAAACAUGUUUUAUUCCUUGCAUGUACCUUAUAAAGGUUUAGAGUAGUAAUCGCUACAAGUUGGUCCGACCUCUAAACUCUCCCAUGAUUUGGAUCCAUGAUGCUAUUCAUCACUUGAUAAGGUUAGUGAUGGCUGUGCAGACUAUCUCUGUCUGCACGGAGUAGAGGCUACGUUGCUUGAGAGGCGACGGGACGGCGGCCUUUUCAAAGGCAUCGUCGCACUGGUGUGCCAGGAAGAUGGCCUUUGCGGCCUCCUCCUUCCCCGCGGCGUAAUUCCGGCCGUUGAUCUCAUCGUAGGCUCCGGCAAACGCGAACUUCAUGUUGUCGUACAACCCCUGGCAUUGCCCAAGGGCCACCUUCGUCUUGGCAUCCGUGUCCGGCUUCGCUAGUAGGCGCUCGAUGUCGUGGAUGGCGCCAUAGGCGUUGUUGACGCCCAUGUUAGCCGCUAUCUUGGCCAGGCCCCAUGUGUCUGCGUCGGAGCUCUGGUAGUGCUUUCUCAACUACGACGCGCAGAAGUCGUAGUUGACAUGCGCGUCCUCGUCGGCCGCCGCCUUGCAGGUUGUUUCCACAGUCGCGUCGACACCGGCCAACAUGAGAAGGACCGCGGCUACGACCACAAGAGCCGCCAGUGGCCUCAUGGAUCUUGCUGGUUGUAUGUGGAUGGAGAGAGAUGCUAAGAUUGGGUAAUUUUGUUUGCGCCGCACAAUACUAUUUGGACAAAGCCUACAUGAUGUCUAUUUAUAGGCAGGGGCACCCUGAGGAUGAGAACAGCUAUUUACAGGUUACAGCUAUAUCUAGGAUAUUUUUAUCAAAUACUAAUAUUUGUUUCAUUAUUUAGGCUAGUAAUUACUCCCUCCGUCCCAUAAUGUAAGACGUUUUUUACAUUAAUGUAGUGUUAAAAAACGUCGUAUAUUAUGGGACGGAGGGAGUAGGAUAUUAACUGUCAGUUACAUCUCUUCUUUUUUUCUAGAAACGUCAGUUACAUAUUGUAAAAAAGGCUUUGAGUUACAUAGUUUUCCCAGGGAUGGGCUUAAGCCGGACCCAAAAAUCCGACUCCUGAUGCCCGGCCCAAAUAAAAAUGGCAGUUUCCUAUUAUAAUUGCAAAAAAAAAGGUGCUUCGGAUGGAGUGUGCAUUGGUUGGUGGCUUGUUCACGUGGUUGGCUUCCUCGAAUAGAUUUACUUGGCACGAUGGACCAAUUUUGCUCACCUACCAAUGGAUUGCGCUGCACACGCAAGCAGUGACGAUCGGCGUCGCCUAAACAGGGAACCGAAGUGCUACUAGUGCUUGAUGAUGAAGUACAUAAAUGGACCCAUAGCAGUGCACUGCAAACACAGAGGGAGAAGAAGAAGAAGGGAUGGCGCCUAUGAAGGUGUACGGCUGGGCGGUGUCGCCAUGGAUGGCGCGGGUCCUCGUCUCCCUGGAGGAGGCCGGCGCCGAGUACGAGCUCGUGUCCAUGAGCCGGAACGGCGGCGACCACCGGCGGCCGGAGCACCUCGCCAGAAACGUACGUGUGCUCUGCUAACCUUCUCCAUAUCUGGUUCAUCUUUGCUACUUGAGUUCUGUUGAAAGCAAGAGACACUAACACUACUGUUCCCUUCCAACGAUUCUGCAGCCCUUCGGUGAGAUCCCGGUGGUGGAAGACGGCGAUCUGACGCUUUACCGUAAGCCUUCAUGUUUUCUAUUUUAUUUUUGAUUCAGUAGGUAUAUGGUUUUUCUAUGAAUUAUUAAGCAAUUUGGUGGGCGUGAUAAAAAAAUGAGGGGUACUGAUUUCUCUCCGCAAUUUAUUUUCUUGAGAAUCCCGCGCCAUUGCAAGGCAUAUUCUCCGCAAACACAAGCCCGGGCUUCUAGGAGCGGGCAGCCUCGAGGAGUCAGCGAUGGUGGACGUAUGGGUCGACGUGGAUGCCCACCAGCUGGAGCCCGUACUCAAGCCCAUCGUAUGGAACUGCAUCAUCAACCCGUUUGUUGGGAGGGACGUCGAUCAGGGCCUCGUCGAUGAGAGCGUCGAGAAACUGAAGAAGCUGCUGGAGGUGUACGAGGCGAGGCUGUCAAGCAACAAGUACUUGGUCGGGGAUUUCAUCAGCUUCGCCGACCUCACCCAUUUCUCCUUCAUGCGCUAUUUCAUGGCGACGGAGCAUGCGGUUGUGCUCGACGCGUAUCCGCACGUAAAGGCAUGGUGGGAAGCGUUGUUGGCAAGGCCAUCGGUCAAGAAGGUGAUAGCUGGCAUGCCUCCGGAUUUUGGGUUCGGAAGCGGGAGAAUACCAUGAUAAGGCAUAUGCUUUGUGUGUUGCGAUGUUCUAAUCAUCUCUAUCCAACCCACGAGAAAUAAAGUAAGCAAAGAGUGGUUGUGGAUAUGAAAUAACUUGUUUCGGUGAAUUGUUUUCUAAUACCAAUUAGAAUUGAUUCUCAAAAAAGUAAGUUCAAUGUCUAUGCCCUCUAUUUCUGUUAGCAGUACCACGGUUUUCACACCAAUGUUGUUGCAAAGUCUCUACUUAUUUAAAAAGAACGUAAAGUUCCGUUUCACCUUUCUUCCCAUCACCCCUUCGUCCAACCUUCCCCGUAUAAUAAUCAAUCACCAAUUCUACUUUAAUUUACUUACCAAACUUCUUAUCUAAACAUAAGGUAAAUUACAUGUAGAAUUUGAUUAAUAUUUAUUUACACAAUCGCAUACCAUGGACAAGUAAAUCACUUAUGAUCAAAAUAUAAGGUAAAUCAUGGACAUAAUUUAAUGAGCAUUUAUUUACACAAUGGCAUAAUAUGGGCAGGUAAACACAAGCUAACGUAAUACAAUAUUUAUAUCCUGUUGCAACGCACGAGCAUUGUUCUAGUCAACUAAAGAUAUUCUAUGUGGUCCUCUUUUUGAUCAAAAAGUAACAUGGGAAUCACACCCACUUGACAUAUAAGAAAAGGUAGAAACAUACUAUGUACCAAACCGUUGUCCCCUAGCUUCCCUUCGCGCCAUCACCCGAAUUGGCUCUGAUCAUGUUCCCCUCCUUCUGUCCUCCGCCGAUGAGCGGACGCCGAUUACCCCACGAUUCCAGUUUGAGACCUUCUGGCUGUCCCAAACCGGUUUCGUGGCGGCUGUGGGCGCUCGCUGGGUGGAGGCUCGCGCGCACCCUCACCCUCGUCCCCCUUCGGCCAUUGACUCGUGGCACUUCUGUGCCAAGCGUGGCUGACAGUUCAUGAAGGGUUGGGAGGCUAACCUGGGUCGAGACCUCCACGAUCGCAAGAAGGCCCUGUUGUCCGCCAUUCAGUCCCUUGACCUGCGUGCGGACGCGGUUGGACUCUCUCCCGACGAGUGGCUCUCUCGCUAUGACUUAGAAGAUCAACUCUCCGUCAUCUACACCGAUGAGGAGGCCUAUUGGCGCCUCUGUGGUGCCCAGAAAUGGGUUUUGAAGGGCGACGCGAACAUGGUCUACUUUCAGGCCAUCACGAAUGGCCGCCGUAGACGCAACACCAUCCCCCUCUUGUGGGAUGGCGCGACCAUCCUUCAAGACCCCCGUGUCAUUCGGACCCACGUUGAUGGGUUCUAUAGAUCCUUGUUCUCCACCGCUCCUAGGAGCGGCCUCUCCCUGCCCCCUGAUUGCUGGAUCGGCCCCAGCUAGUCUCUGAUGCGGAGAACGCGGCCCUUACGGCCCUCUUCUCCGAGAGCGUGGUCUUGGCUGCCAUUAGUGGCAUGAACCCUAACUCGGCGCCGGGUCCAGACGGCCUCCCAGUUAAAUUCUUCCAGACCUUCUAGAACGUGAUUAAACCAGAGGUCAUGGCCAUCUUCGACAAGUUCUACGUUGGGUCCAUCGACCUCGGACGCCUCAACUUUGGGAUCAUCUCUCUCAUUCCUAAGGUGCCUGGCGCUUCCGACAUCCGCCAGUUUCGCCCGAUCACGGUCAUUAACGUGAUUUUCCGGAUUCUAGCAAAAGGGUACCCCAAUAGGGUGACCCGUCUUGCUGACCGCGUUACCCACCCCAACCAGUCCGCCUUCAUCCAAGGUCGGUAUAUUCUGGAUGGGGUGCUUGUCCUUCAUGAAGUCCUCCAUGAGGUCCGCGCCAAACACCUCAAGGCGGUAUUCCUGAAGAUUGAUUUCCAGAAGGCUUAUGACACUGUUAGUUGGACCUUCCUUCGGGAAGUUUUGCUCCAGAAGGGCUUCAACGACCGUUGGAUCACCAGAGUCAUGCAGAUGGUCUCCUGCGAUCGCACGGCCGUGAACAUCAACAGCGAGAUAGGCCCUUACUUCCCCACCCUCUGUUGGGUUAGGCAAGGCGACCCCUUCUCCCUGUUCUUGUUCAAUAUGGUGGUGGACGCUCUUGCCGCCAUCCUUCAUAAGGCAAUGGCUGCUGGCCAUAUUCGUGGGAUCACCCCCCACCUGGCCGGAGGCUCCGGGAUUUCCCUCCUCCAGUAUGCUGACGACACCAUCAUCAUGGUCGAAGGCUCUGAGGCGGACAUCUCCAACCUCAAGUUCCUCCUCCUCUACUUCCAACAAAUGUCUGGCCUUAAGAUAAACUUCGACAAGAGUGAUGUUAUGGUGAUGGGAUACUCUUCCAUGGAGUGUCUGGCCAUUUCCAACCGGCUUAACUGCCGCCUGGGCUCCUUCCCCAUGACCUACUUGGGUACGCCCAUUAGUGACUCCUGGCUCACCGUCGCGGACUUGCGCCCGACCGUGGCCAAGCUUCAAACGCGCAUCGAGCCUUGGCAGGGGAGGUGGUUAUCAAAUGCGGCCCGGACAAUUCUCAUGAACUCUUCCCUCUCCAGCCUCCUCUUGUUUCUCAUGAGCUUCUACAGCCUUCACGAGACUCUGCACCAUGAGAUCGCCAAAGUCCAGCCUCGUUUCUGCUAGGCUGGCAACAACGAUAAGCAGAAGUAUCAUAUGGUCAGUUGGCCUGACAUUUGCAAGCCCAUGGAACAAGGAGGCCUUGGCAUUAUUGUUGGAAAUAUGCCCUAGAGGCAAUAAAUAAAAGGAUUAUUAUUAUAUUUCCUUGUUCAUGAUAAUUGUCUUUUAUUCAUGCUAUAAUUGUAUUAUCCGGAAAUCGUAAUACACGUGUGAAUACAUAGACCACAACAUGUCCCUAGUGAGCCUCUAGUUGACUAGCUCGUUAAUCAACAGAUAGUCAUGGUUUCCUGACUAUGGACAUUGGAUGUCAUUGAUAACAAGAUCACAUCAUUAGGAGAAUGAUGUGAUGGACAAGACCCAAUCCUAAGCAUAGCACAAGAUUGUGUAGUUCGUUUGCUAGAGAUUUUCCAAUGUCAAGUAUCUUUUCCUUACACCAUGAGAUCGUGUAGCUCCCGGAUACCGUAGGAGUGCUUUGGGUGUACCAAACGUCACAACGUAACUGGGUGACUAUAAAGGUAUACUACGGGUAUCUCUGAAAGUGUCUAUUGGGUUGACACGGAUCGAGACUGGGAUUUGUCACUCCGUAUGACGGAGAGGUAUCUCUGGGCCCACUCAGUAAUGCAUCAUCAUAAUGAUCUCAAAGUGACCAAGUGUCUGGUCAUGGGAUCAUGCAUUACGAUAUGAGUAAAGUGAGUUACCGGUAACGAGAUUGAACGAGGUAUUAGGAUACCGACGAUCGAAUCUCGGGCAAGUAACAUACCGAUUGACAAAGGGAAUUGUAUACUGGGUUGCUUGAAUCUUCGACAUCGUGGUUCAUCCGAUGAGAUCAUCGAGGAGCAUGUGGGAGCCAACAUGGGUACCCAGAUCCCGUUGUUGGUUAUUGAUCGGAGAGUCGUCUCGGUCAUGUCUACGUGUUUCCCGAACCCGUAGGGUCUACACACUUAAGGUUCGGUGACGCUAGGGUUGUAGAGAUAUUAGUAUGCAGGAAACCAAAAGUUGUUUGGAGUCCCGGAUGAGAUCCCGGACGUCACGAGGAGUUCCGGAAUGGUCCGGAGGUAAAAAAUUAUAUAUGGGAAGUCAAGUUUCGGCCAUCGGGAAAGUUUCGGGGGUCACCGGUAUUGUACCGGGACCACCGGAAGGGACCCGGGGGUCCACCGGGUGGGGCCACCUAUCCCGGAGGGCCCCAUGGGCUGAAGUGGUAGGGGAACCAGCCCCUGGUGGGCUGGUGCGCCCUCCCCCCCCCUUGGGGCCCCCUGCGCCUAGGGUUGGUAACCCUAGGGGAGGGGGCGCCUCCACUUGCCUUGGGGGGCAAGGCACCCCCCUUGGCCGCCGCCCCCCCUAGGAGAUCCCAUCUCCUAGGGCCGGCGCCCCCCUGGGGACCCUAUAUAUAAAGGGGGGAGGGAGGGAAGCCGCACCCUUGCACUUGGCGCCUGCCUUCCCCCUUGCUACACCUCUCUCUCCCGCAGACGCUUGGCAAAGCCCUACCGGGAUCCCUGCUGCAUCCACCACCACGCCGUUGUGCUGCUGGAUCUUCAUCAACCUCUCCUUCCCCCUUGCUGGAUCAAGAAGGAGGAGACGUCAUGCUGACACGUGUGUUGAACACGGAGGUGCCGUCCGUUCGGCGCUAGGAUCUCCGGUGAUUUGGAUCACGACGAGUACGACUCCCUCAACCUCGUUCUCUUGAACGCUUCCGCUCGCGAUCUACAAGGGUAUGUAGAUACACUCCCCUCUCUCGUUGCUAGAUGAACUCAUAGAUUGAUCUUGGUGAACAUAGGAAAUUUUUUAUUUUAUGCAACGUUCCCAACAGUGGUAUCAGAGCUAGGUCUAUGCGUAGUUCUCUUUGCACGAGUAGAACACAAAUCUAAUGUGGGCGUAGAUGUUGUCAACUUUCUUGCCACUACUAAUCUUAUUUUGCUUCAACGGUAUUGUGGGAUGAAGCGGCCCGGACCGACCUUACACGUACGCUUACGUGAGACAGGUUCCACCGACUGACAUGCACUAGUUGCAUAAGGUGGCUAGCGGGUGUCUGUCUCUCCCACUUUAGUUGGAGCAGAUUCGAUGAAAAGGGUCCUUAUGAAGGGUAAAUAGAAGUUGACAAAUCACGUUGUGGCUUUUUCGUAGGUAAGAAAACUUUCUUGCUAGAACCCUAUUGCAGCCACGUAAAAGAUGCAACAACAAUUAGAGGACGUCUAACUUGUUUUUGCAGCAAUUGCUUUGUGAUGUGAUAUGGCCAAAAGUUGUGAUGAAUGAUGAAUGAUAUAUUGUGAUGUAUGAGAUCAUGUUCUUGUAAUAGGAAUCACGACUUGCAUGUCGAUGAGUAUGACAACCGGCAGGAGCCAUAGGAGUUGUCUUAAUUAUUGUAUGACCUGCGUGUCAAUGAUUUAACGCCAUGUAAUUACUUUAAGUUAUUGCUAAACCGUUAGCUAUAGUAGUAGAAGUAAUAGUUGGCGAGCAACUUCAUGGAGACACGAUGAUGGAGAUCAUGAUGAUGGAGAUCAUGGUGUCAUGCCGGUGACGAAGAUGAUCAUGGAGCCCCGAAGAUGGAGAUCAAAGGAGCUAUAUAAUAUUGGCCAUAUCAUGUCACUACUAUUUGAUUGCAUGUGAUGUUUAUCAUGUUUUUGCAUCUUGUUUACUUAGAACGACGGUAGUAAAUAAGAUGAUCCCUCAUAACAAUUUCAAGAAAGUGUUCCCCCUAACUGUGCGCCGUUGCGACAGUUCAUUGUUUCGAAGCACCACAUGAUGAUCGGGUGUGAUAGAUUCUAACGUUCACAUACAGCGGGUGUAAGACAGAUUUACACAUGCAAAACACUUAGGUUAACUUGACGAGCCUAGCAUGUACAGACAUGGCCUCGGAACACAAGAGACCGAAAGGUCGAACAUGAGUCGUAUGGAAGAUACGAUCAACAUGGAGAAGUUCACCGAUGAUGACUGGUCCGUCUCACGUGAUGAUCGGACACGGCCUAGUCGACUCGGAUCAUGUAACACUUAGAUGACUAGAGGGAUGUCUAAUCUGAGUGGGAGUUCAUUAAAUAAUUUGAUUAGAUGAACUUAAUUAUCAUGAACUUAGUCUAAAAUCUUUGCAAAAAUGUCUUGUAGAUCAAAUGGCCAACGCUCAUGUCAACAUGAACUUCAACGCGUUCCUAGAGAAAACCAAGCUGAAAGAUGAUGGCAGCAACUAUACGGACUGGGUCCGGAACCUGAGGAUCAUCCUCAUAGCUGCCAAGAAAGCAUAUGUCCUUGAAGCACCGUUAGGUGACCCACCUUCUCUCCCAGCACUGCAAGACGAUUUGAACGUUUGGCAGACAUGUGCUGAUGAUUCCUCCCUCGUUCAGUGCGGCAUGCUUUACAGCUUAGAACCGGGGCUCCAAAAGCGUUUUGAGAAACACGGAGCAUAUGAGAUGUUCGAGGAGCUGAAAAUGGUUUUCCAAGCUCACGUCCGGGUCGAGAGAUAUGAAGUCUCCGACAAGUUCUAUAGUUGUAAGAUGGAGGAAAAUAGUUCUGUUAGUGAGCACAUACUCAAAAUGUCUGGGUUGCAUAACCGCCUGACCCAGCUGGACAUUAACCUCCCGGACGAGGUGGUCAUUGACAGAAUCCUUCAGUCGCUCCCACUGAGCUACAAGAGCUUUGUGAUGAACUACAAUAUGCAGGGGAUGGUGAAAACUAUUCCUGAAGUAUUUUCAAUGCUGAAGUCAGCAGAGGUAGAAAUCAAAAAGGAACAUCAAGUGUUGAUGGUCAAUAAAACCACCAAGUUCAAGAAAGGCAAGGGUAAGAAGAACUUCAAGAAGGAUGGCAAGGAUGUUGUCGCGCCCGGUAAGCCAGUUGCCGGGAAGAAGUCAAAGAAUGGACCCAAGCCUGAAACUGAGUGCUUUUAUUGCAAAGGGAAGGGUCACUGGAAGCGGAACUGCCCCAAAUACUUAGCGGACAAGAAGGCCGGCAACACUAAAGGUAUAUGUGAUAUACAUGUAACUGAUGUGUACCUUACCAGUGCUCGUAGUAGCUCCUGGGUAUUUGAUACCGGUGCCGUUGCUCAUAUUUGUAACUCAAAGCAGGAGAUGUGGAAUAAGCGGAGACUGGCGAAGGACGAGGUGACGAUGCGCGUCGGGAAUGGUUCCAAGGUCGAUGUGAUCACCGUCGGCACGCUACCUCUGCAUUUACCUACGGGAUUAGUUUUAAACCUCAAUAAUUGUUAUUUAGUGCCAAGUUUGAGCAUGAACAUUGUAUCUGGAUCUCGUUUAAUACGAGAUGGCUACUCAUUUAAAUCCAAGAAUAAUGGUUGUUCUAUUUAUAUGAGAGAUAUGUUUUAUGGUCAUGCCCCGAUGGUCAAUGGUUUAUUCUUAAUGAAUCUCGAACGUAAUGUUACACAUAUUCAUAGUGUGAAUACCAAAAGAUGUAAAGUUGAUAACGAUAGUCCCACAUACUUGUGGCACUGCCGCCUUGGUCACAUUGGUGUCAAGCGCAUGAAGAAGCUCCAUGCUGAUGGACUUUUAGAGUCUCUUGAUUAUGAAUCAUUUGACACAUGCAAACCAUGCCUCAUGGGCAAAAUGACCAAGACUCCGUUCUCCGGAACAAUGGAGCGAGCAACCAACUUAUUGGAAAUCAUACAUACCGAUGUGUGCGGUCCAAUGAGCGUUGAGGCUUGCGGAGGAUAUCGUUAUGUUCUCACUCUCACUGAUGACUUGAGUAGAUAUGGGUAUGUCUACUUGAUGAAACACAAGUCUGAGACCUUUGAAAAGUUCAAGGAAUUUCAGAAUGAGGUAGAGAAUCAACGUGACCGAAAGAUAAAGUUCUUACGAUCAAAUCGUGGAGGAGAAUAUUUAAGUCACGAAUUUGGUACGCGCUUAAGGAAAUGUGGAAUCGUUUCACAACUCACGCCGCCUGGAACACCUCAGCGUAACGGUGUGUCCAAACGUCGUAAUCACACUCUAUUGGAUAUGGUGCGAUCUAUGAUGUCUCUUACCGAUUUACCGCUAUCAUUUUGGGGAUACGCUCUAGAGACAGCUACAUUCACUUUAAAUAGGGCUCCGUCUAAAUCCGUUGAGAUGACACCGUAUGAAUUAUGGCUUGGGAAGAAACAUAAGCUGUCGUUUCUAAAAGUUUGGGGAUGCGAUGCUUAUGUCAAGAAACUUCAACCUGAAAAGCUCGAAUCCAAGUCGGAAAAAUGUGUCUUCAUAGGAUACCCUAAGGAAACCAUUGGGUAUACCUUCUACCUUAGAUCCGAAGGCAAGAUCUUUUUUGCCAAGAACGGAUCCUUUCUGGAAAAAGAGUUUCUCUUGAAAGGAGUAAGUGGGAGGAAAGUAGAACUCGAUGAAGUACUACCUCUUGAACCGGAAAGUAGUGCAGCUCAGGAAAAUGUUCCUGUGGUGCCUACACCGACUAGAGAGGAAAUUAAUGAUGAUGAUCAAGGUACUUCGGAUCAAGUUGCUACUGAACUUCGUAGGUCCACAAGGACACGUUCCACACCAGAGUGGUAUGGCAACCCUGUCCUGGAAAUCAUGUUGUUAGACAACGAUGAACCUUCGAACUAUGAAGAAGCGAUGGCGGGCCCAGAUUCCAACAAAUGGCUUGAAGCCAUGCAAUAUGAGAUAGAAUCCAUGUAUGAAAACAAAGUAUGGACUUUGACAGACUUUCCCGAUGAUCGGCGAGCGAUAGAAAAUAAAUGGAUCUUUAAGAAGAAGUCGUACGCGGAUGGUAAUGUUACCAUCUAUAAAGCUCGACUUGUCGCUAAGGGUUAUCGGCAAGUUCAAGGGGUUGACUAUGAUGAGACUUUCUCUCCCGUAGCGAAGCUGAAGUCCUCCCGAAUCAUGUUAGCAAUUGCCGCAUACUAUGAUUAUGAGAUAUGGCAGAUGGAUGUCAAAACGGCAUUCCUUAACGGCUAUCUUAUGGAAGAACUGUAUAUGAUGCAGCCAGAAGGUUUUGUCGAUCCUAAGAAUGCUAACAAGGUGUGCAAGCUCCAGCGAUCCAUUUAUGGGCUGGUGCAAGCAUCUCGGAGUUGGAACAUUCGCUUUGAUGAGAUAAUCAAAGCGUUUGGGUUUAUGCAGACUUAUGGAGAAGCCUGCGUUUACAAGAAAGUGAGUGGGAGCUCUGUAGCAUUUCUCAUAUUAUAUGUAGAUGACAUACUUUUGAUGGGAAAUGAUGUAGAACUAUUGGACAGCAUUAAGGCCUACUUGAAUAAGUGUUUUUCAAUGAAGGACCUUGGAGAAGCUGCUUACAUAUUAGGCAUCAAGAUCUAUAGGGAUAGAUCGAGACGCCUCAUAGGUCUUUCACAAAGCAUAUACCUUGAUAAGAUAUUGAAGAAGUUCAAUAUGGAUCAGUCCAAGAAAGGGUUCUUGCCUAUAUUGCAAGGUGUGACAUUGAGCUCGGCUCAAUGCCCGACCACGACAGAAGAUAAAGAAGAGAUGAGUGUCAUCCCCUAUGCCUCAGCCAUAGGAUCUAUUAUGUAUGUCAUGCUGUGUACCAGACCUGAUGUAAACCUUGUCGUAAGUUUGGUAGGAAGGUACCAAAGUAAUCCCGGCAAGGAACACUGGACAGCGGUCAAGAAUAUCCUGAAGUACCUGAAAAGGACAAAGGACAUGUUUCUCGUUUAUGGAGGUGACGAAGAGCUCGUCGUAAAGGGUUACAUCGAUGCUAGCUUCGACACAGAUCUGGAUGACUCUAAGUCGCAAACCGGAUAUGUGUAUAAGUUGAAUCGUGGAGCAGUAAGCUGGUGCAGUUGCAAGCAGAGCAUCAUGGCGGGAUCUACAUGUGAAGCGGAGUACAUGGCAGCCUCAGAGGCAGCGCAUGAAGCAAUAUGGAUGAAGGAGUUCAUCACCGACCUAGGAGUCAUACCCAAUGCGUCGGGGCCGAUCACUCUCUUCUGUGACAACACUGGAGCUAUUGCCCUUGCCAAGGAGCCCAAGUUUCACAAGAAGACCAGGCACAUCAAGCAUCGUUUGAACUCCAUCCGUGAAAAUGUUCAAGAUGGAGACAUAGAUAUUUGCAAAGUACAUACGGAUUUGAAUGUCGCAGAUCCGUUGACUAAACCUCUUCCGCGAGCAAAACAUGAUCAACACCAGAACUCUAUGGGUGUUCGAUUCAUCACAAUGUAACUAGAUUAUUGACUCUAGUGCAAGUGGGAGACUGUUGGAAAUAUGCCCUAGAGGCAAUAAUAAAAGGAUUAUUAUUAUAUUUCCUUGUUCAUGAUAAUUGUCUUUUAUUGAUGCUAUAAUUGUAUUAUACGGAAAUCGUAAUACACGUGUGAAUACAUAGACCACAACAUGUCCCUAGUGAGCCUCUAGUUGACUAGCUCGUUAAUCAAUAGAUAGUCAUGGUUUCCUGACUAUGGACAUUGGAUGUCAUUGAUAACGAGGUCACAUCAUUAGGAGAAUGAUGUGAUGGACAAGACCCAAUCCUAAGCAUAGCACAAGAUCGUGUAGUUCGUUUGCUAGAGCUUUUCCAAUGUCAAGUAUCUUUUCCUUAGACCAUGAGAUCAUGUAACUCCCGGAUACCGUAGGAGUGCUUUGGGUGUACCAAACAUCACAACGUAACUGGGUGACUAUAAAGGUAUUCUACGGGUAUCUCCGAAAGCGUCUGUUGGGUUGACACGGAUCGAGACUGGGAUUUGUCACUCCGUAUGACGGAGAGGUAUCUCUGGGCCCACUCGGUAAUGCAUCAUCAUAAUGAGCUCAAAGUGACCAUGUGUCUGGUCACGGGAUCAUGCAUUACGAGUAAAGUGACUUACCGGUGACGAGAUUGAACGAGGUAUUGGGGUACCGACAAUGAAUCUCGGGCAAGUAACAUAACGAUUGACAAAGGGAAUUGUAUACGGGGUUGCUUGAAUCCUCGACAUCAUGGUUCAUCCGAUGAGAUCAUCGAGGAGCAUGUGGGAGCCAACAUGGGUAUCCAGAUCGCGCUGUUGGUUAUUGACCGGAGAGCCGUCUCGGUCAUGUCUACGUGUCUCCCAAACCCGUAGGGUCUACACACUUAAGGUUCGGUGACACUAGGGUUGUAGAGAUAUUAGUAUGCAGCAAACUGAAAGUUGUUCGAAGUCCCGGAUGAGAUCCCGGAUGUCACGAGGAGUUUCGGAAUGGUCCGGAGGUAAAGAAUUAUAUAUGGGAAGUCAAGUUCCGGCCAUCAGGAAAGUUUCGGGGGUCACCAGUAUUGUACCGGGACCACCGGAAGGGACCCGGGGGUCCACCGGGUGGGGCCACCUAUCCCGGAGGGCCCCAUGGGUUGAAGUGGGAGGGGAACCAGUCCCUGGUGGGCUGGUGCGCCCCCCCCCCCUUGGGCCCCCCUGCGCCUAGGGUUGGGAACCCUAGGGGAGGGGGCGCCUCCACUUGCCUUGGGGGGCAAGGCACCCCCCUUGGCCGCCGGACCCCCUAGGAGAUCCCAUCUCCUAGGGCCGGCGCCCCCCCUGGGGACCCUAUAUAUAGAGGGGGGAGGGAGUCCAGCCGCACCCUUGCACUUGGCGCCUCCCUUCCCCCUUGCUACACCUCUCUCUCCCGCAGACGCUUGGCGAAGCCCUGCCGGGAUCCCUGCUGCAUCCACCACCACGCCGUUGUGCUGCUGGAUCUUCAUCAACCUCUCCUUCCCCCUUGCUGGAUCAAGAAGGAGGAGACGUCACGCUGACCGUACGUGUGUUGAACGCGGAGGUGCCGUCCAUUCAGCGCUACAAUCUCCGGUGAUUUGGAUCACGAUGAGUACGACUCCCUCAACCUCGUUCUCUUGAACGCUCUCGCUCGCGAUCUACAAGGGUAUGUAGAUGCACUCCCCUCUCUCGUUGCUAGAUGAACUCAUAGAUUGAUCUUGGUGAGCGUAGGAAAAUUUUUAUUUUAUGCAACAUUCCCCAAUAAUUAUGUGCUCUAAGCGCAUGAAUAUCGCCCUCCUAUCCCGUUGGCUUUGGCUCAUUUCGCAAGGUCACGGUGGCCUCUGGCUCGACAUCAUGCGGAACAAAUAUUUGCGCGGGCAGCCGCUCGCCUUCUGUCAGAGAUAUGGCGGCUCCCAGUUCUGGCAGUCGGUCGUCCACCUUCUUCCGGUUCUUCGCAUCGGGACUUCCAUCGCGGUGGGCUCCGGGGCGUCGAAUUUGUUCUAGUUUGAUUGGUGGGCUGGUGACGCUCCCUUCCUUGCGCGCUUUCCCGUCCUCUCCAUCUCCGUCGAUCCUGUGAUCUUAGUCGAGAGGGCCCUUAUUGACUUAAGGCGCCUCGCCUUCCGGAGGCCAUUUGGGCCCCCGGAGUCCGCCGCUUGGUGUGAGUUACUGGACUGUGUUGCUCUCCACGAGCCGAUGGUGGAGGGUGAGCCUGACCAGGUGAGUUUGCGCCUGGAGCCUUCUGGCCAAUUCUCCACCAAGUCUCUCUACCAGGCCAUCGCACCCCCCUCCGCCCUUCCCCCCUUACGACGGUGCGGUCUAUCCGCCUGCCUCUGAAGAUCCAGAUCUUCAUGUGGCAAUGGAUUCGCGGUCGGAUCCAGUCUGGGGUCGAGGUUCGCAAGCGAAAUGGCCCGGGCACUGGCAUUUGUCCGUUGUGCGGUACCCCCGAAGACUCGAAUCACAUCUUCUUCUCCUGCGUGUCUGCUCAAUUCGUUUGGAGCUGCUUUCGCGAAGCGGUCGGUGGAAAUUGGUGCCACACCAACUUCCCCGACCUAUUUGCCGAACUCCAGAACUCCCCCUUGUCGUAUCGCCACAUUAGGUGGCUUGAGAUUGGGGUCAUUGCUUGGAACCUCUGGACGAUUCGCAAUAAGCUUGUGAUCCAGCGCACUCCUCUACGACGAGCUACUGAUGCUAUCUUCAAACUUUCUGGUUUCUUGCAGCUUUGGCGGCCGCUUAGCCACCCUCAGGACCGCGACGCCAUCUCCGCCUUCAUCGCCGACCUUCUCUCGAUGGCCGUCCGUCUGUCGCCGCCGCCCCAGCCGCUGCUGCUGGAACCUGACUAGACGCUUGUCCCGUUCUCUGGCUCUUUUCUUUUAUUUUGUUUGGGCUUGUUGAGUUGUGCCCUCAGCAGAACCUCUGUACUUAUUUGUGAGACUUGGAUGUGUGUGUGGACUAGUCCUUGUGUGUGUGCUCUCUGUCGGUUUGCUUUAUUUAUAAAGCGGGACGAAAGCCUUUUUCGGUAAAAACUCACGAACCUACACCUACAUUUGCACACAAGGUGUGGUGAAGCAGCCAUGAAUUUAGAACUGUGUGAGAAUAGGAACAUUCGCCUACUUCAUCAGCUUUACCUAAAUGUAGGUAUUCUUGACAUAGUAGUAAUCAUCUGGCCCUUGUUCAUCCAUCGGUCUUAGAGGAUGGUGCUUCUAGAAGACAAUGUCUCCCUUUUGGAAGAUGACCAUCCCCCCUCCCUAAGGAAAAGUUACUUUUUAACAUCUUGCGCGUAUUGCACCUAGCCAAUAAGUGUUCUCCAUAAUAAAGGAAUCAAAUGGGAGGACAAACAUCGGUCCGUAGGAUACUUGUCGUCUUCACCAACAAAUGAGUACAGCCAAAUGGUUAGUGUGGCAGAGGACUGGAGACAGCGAAUAGUGGCAAUGCCAUUCCACAACGCAUGCUCCGAAAUUUGAAGACUACUGAGGGGUGAAUCAUGAUUUUGGCAAGGUUAUAUUUGAAUAAAGGCAAUCGUGAAUCAAACCGGUUUCGCAAGAGUUAGUUCCAAUGGACAAGAGUUGUGGUUGCAUGCCCCUCUAAUUGGAUUUUUGAUUUCCCCCAAAAAAAAUCCAUUGUUAGUUUAUGAUGUAAGUGUCGCUUUAUUUUUUUGGAAAUAACUAUAAUUUAAGUUGAUAAGUAAAUUGGCACGACAUCAUUUUGGCUUCACCAGGUGAACAGUGAAAUGAGAAAAUAUAUCCAAUUUUUUUGCAUGGGCAAAAAUAAUAUUAUAUAUACAAGAUAUGUUCAUGUCUUCAACACGCGUGCAAAUUUUCAUGAGAAAACAACACAUAUUGUGAUUUUUUGGGAGAUCGGAAGAAAAUCUAUGCUAUGAAACCACAAUGUUUGUUGUUUCCACAUGAAAAUUUGAUUGGAUGUCAAAUCAACGAUGGAUCUACUGGAGGGAAGGCGAUGGGAUUUAUUUUGUAGAGAAAUGAUAACUCGGGAACGUCUCUGAUUAGGAGGGGUCUCAGAAACGCCUCCACAAUCAUUGGAUCCAAAUCAUGCAAAUGGCAAUCGUUGUAAAAAAAAUCAUUGGUAUUUGGGUGUGCUACAUGGCAAUUUUCACUUUCGAUCAUGACAAGUUUUGUAACAUUGGAUGGCAAUUUUCUAUUAUCAUCAAAACUUUAUUUCUCAAACAAUGGCCAUCUCGUUUAUAAUUUUGGCAAAAUAAAGUCUAGCAAAACAUUGUUUUAGUGUUAGCUUAUCUGAGUCUUGGGACUCUAAUGCCCCCGACAUUGCCAUGGCAACUUUUUUUUAAAUAAGAGACUUUAUUCCUCAAUGGUAGCCAUAUCGCUUACAAUGUCCGAGAGAAUAAAGUCAACGAUAGUAUCCGAAGAGUAGGAAGAUCUAGUACAAUAAGAAUGCUUAGCUAAACUUUUUGCUACCUCAUUAGCUUCUCUAGGACAAAAGGCAAAGACAACACCAGCAAAAUCUAGAGCCAAAUUGUAAACGAUAUGGCCAUACGCUUUUGCUUUGUAGUUUUGUCUGGUCGUUGGUGACUAUCUUUGGACUUGCAUGGCCCGGGUGGAGCUGGCCCCAGGCACCUAGGGCCCAGGACCAGGGCGUGGAAUUUUUCCGUAGUUACUAUAUGUAUAUAUUAUUGUAUAGGCCCGGGGUAUAGCCUAGUCAAAGGCAAGCCCAAAACCCAUGAUGGGCUGGCUCGUCAGCCCCACCGAUCCACACACUUCAAACACGGAGGCACGCAAAACACUCAGCUUUCCUAUUUGACACAUUUUGCAUCAAAAUGUUGGUGUGUCGCACAAGCAGCGACUGAGACGGGCCGGGCCAUAUCGCUUACAAUGUCCGAGAGAAUAAAGUCAACGAUAGUAUCCGAAGAGUAGGAAGAUCUAGUACAAUAAGAAUGCUUAGCUAAACUUUUUGCUACCUCAUUAGCUUCUCUAGGACAAAAGGCAAAGACAACACCAGCAAAAUCUAGAGCCAAAUUGUAAACGAUAUGGCCAUACGCUUUUGCUUUGUAGUUUUGUCUGGUCGUUGGUGACUAUCUUUGGACUUGCAUGGCCCGGGUGGAGCUGGCCCCAGGCACCUAGGGCCCAGGACCAGGGCGUGGAAUUUUUCCGUAGUUACUAUAUGUAUAUAUUAUUGUAUAGGCCCGGGGUAUAGCCUAGUCAAAGGCAAGCCCAAAACCCAUGAUGGGCUGGCUCGUCAGCCCCACCGAUCCACACACUUCAAACACGGAGGCACGCAAAACACUCAGCUUUUCUAUUUGACACAUUUUGCAUCAAAAUGUUGGUGUGUCGCACAAGCAGCGACUGAGACGGGCCGGGCCAUAUCGCUUACAAUGUCCGAGAGAAUAAAGUCAACGAUAGUAUCCGAAGAGUAGGAAGAUCUAGUACAAUAAGAAUGCUUAGCUAAACUUUUUGCUACCUCAUUAGCUUCUCUAGGACAAAAGGCAAAGACAACACCAGCAAAAUCUAGAGCCAAAUUGUAAACGAUAUGGCCAUACGCUUUUGCUUUGUAGUUUUGUCUGGUCGUUGGUGACUAUCUUUGGACUUGCAUGGCCCGGGUGGAGCUGGCCCCAGGCAUCUAGGGCCCAGGACCAGGGCGUGGAAUUUUUCCGUAGUUACUAUAUGUAUAUAUUAUUGUAUAGGCCUGGGGUAUAGCCCAGUCAAAGGCAAGCCCAAAACCCAUGAUGGGCUGGCUCGUCAGCCCCACCGAUCCACACACUUCAAACACGGAGGCACGCAAAACACUCAGCUUUCCUAUUUGACACAUUUUGCAUCAAAAUGUUGGUGUGUCGCACAAGCAGCGACUGAGACGGUCCGGGCCAUUUAGAAGAGAGACGUGUGUUCCAAUGAUCCCGGUUUUGGGAAUGUUCCGGAAGGUUUCAGCUAGAUUUUUCCGGUUUUGGGAACCUUCCAGAAGGUUCCUGAACCAGGUCUUUUUAAGGUUUUUUUCGUUUCUCUAUUUUUUCUAUUUUUUUCUGUUUCUUUUUUACUUUCCCUCCUUUUUCAUUUUUCUUUUUUUCCUUUCCUUUCCGUUUUUCUAUUUUUCUUUUUUUCUUUUUUUUCUCCUUUUCUUUUCUUUUCAUUGAUUUUUAUUUUCUUUCCUCUAUUUCUCUUUUUCAACAAAUGAUUUAGAAAAUUAAAUGGUUUGCACUUUUUAGAUUUUGUUCAUUUUUUAAAUGUUCCUAUUUUGAAAUGUUGAUCAUAAUAUCCAUAAAAUUUUAGAACUUCAAAUAUUUGUUCGCUUCUAUUACAUUUUUUUUAUAAUUCCAAAAGUUAUAAAUGUUCACAUUAAAAAAUCAAAAAUAAUAAAAUGUUCUCUCUUUCAAAAUUUGUUAUUUUUUUAAAUGUUCAUGCUUUGAAAAUUUGUUCGCAAACUUUAAAGAUAUUCCUACUUUCAAAUUUUUCCACUAACUCAAUUUUUUUUUCAUGUUUUGGAUUUUGCCACGCAUUUUUAUUUUUUGUUCACAAAUUCAAAAAAAAAUUUAGAAUUUAAACUAGGUUCUGGCUUUCCAAAUUUGUUCUCAAACUCAGAAAACAUUUAGGGAAUUUCGACAAAUAUUCGUGUUUUUGAAAAAAUUGUUCGUAAUUUCAAAAAAAUUAUUCAUUUUCAAUUUCUGUUCCUGAUUUUCAGAAAAUGUUUUGCAUCUUUUUAGAAAUCAUUCCAAAUGUCAAAAAAUGAUCACCUUUACUAUUUUGAUCCUUUUUUCAAAAAAUAUUUGAAAACCGAAAAAUGUUCGUUUUCACAAAAUGUUUGAGGUUUCAAAAGUUUGUUCACAAAUUGAAAAUAUUUGCGUUGCAAAAAAACUUGUUUUUUCCAAAAUAAAAUCACAUUUUUGGGAAUGUUGGAUCCCUCAAAAAGGAAAGCACUAGCAGGAGUUCUUCGGUUAGAUUCCUCAGUGGGACUUUAGUGUUUGUGAAUCUUUUAAAUUUUUGCCAUCGUCGAUUGUUUCCUUAACUGUUGCGCUACUAAUCUAUCACAAGAUCUGUCUGUCGUGCUGGCUAGCACAGCCCGCACAUUACUACAAGUUGGCGGUUCGAUUCCUAGCAUUUUUUUUCGCGGUUUUUCACCUCAUGGACACCAAAUGGGGCGGCCCGGGUGAUCGGCCCCUAUGCGAAACGUGGAUUCUUUGACGCAAAGAGUGUCACAUAGGAGCUCCCAUAGACACUAAGUUCCAGAAAGUCAGUUUGAGCGUUAACGGUACCUACCGGCAGAUAUCCAUCCAUUCAUUGUUCGUCAAGACUAGUGUAACAGCUGGCCCAAUCAAAUGUACUAUUAUCACAGCCUCUAAGGCUGGUCACAGUGGGGAGAAACUUAGGAGUAACAUCACACACUUCAAUACAACUUUGCUUAUGUGGCACGUAUUUAAUGAAGAGAGAGGUGUUUGUGGUAACUAGCUAAGUUACCGGAACAUCACACACUCCAAAAAACAAUGAGUCUAUAACCUAAUAAAUACAUCGUUGCAUGACACUACAUAGAUGUUCCUACCCACUAUGAAGGUAGUAACAUAGUCUAGGGAAGUGUGAAGUUACUAGCUUAUGUUCUUGCUUAUUGUGACCAGCCUAACAUGCAUGUCAGGGAAUAACUAUUAGGAGUACUUUUUUCCCGCAUGCAUGCAACUUCUCUUCUCUGUCUUCACCCUGAACAAAUCGAUGCACAUUUAUUUCAUCUUAGACAAUUUAAGCCACUCACAUCUUUUCAAAUAUGAGUUCGUUUGCAAAAUAAUUCAGAUAUCUGAAUUGUUAGCGCCAAGAUCUUUUGAACUAGACCAAUCUUGAAUACAACUCAAACACGUUUAAAUUUUGACGUUUCACAUUUUGUAUGUGAAACAAACCCAUUUUCACUAAAAAAGUGUGAAACAAACAUUUUUUUUCAAUAGAAAUAUGUGAAAUCAGCCUAUUUCACAAGAAACCUGAUAUGAAAUGAGUGAAAUCUAUUUGAAAUGAGUGAAAUAUGUUAGGUGAAAUGAGUGAAAUCCAUUUGAAAACGUGUGAAAUCUAUUUUAAAGUGAGAGAAAUAUGUUAGUAAAGUGAGAGAAAUAUGUUAGUAUAAAAUCUUUUUUGAAAUGAGUAAAAUAUGGUAUCAUAAAAUAUGUUAAAUGUGUGAAAUCUGGUAUAAAAUCUUGUUUGAUAUGAGUGAAAUAUGUUAGAUGAAAUGAGUGAAAUAUAUUUGAAAAUGUGUGGAAUCUGUUUUAAAAUGAGAGAAAUAUGUUAUUAUAAAGUAUUUUUUGAAAUGAGUGAAAUAUUUUAUUAUAAAAUAUGUGAAAUGUGUGAAAUCGAUAUUUUAAACUCAUUCAAAAUAUAUUCAAAGUCGGUCCUGUUUUAAAGGUCUGUUCGCCAUGGAUUCAAAUAUGUAAAAAGUUCAAAAAUGAAUUUUUGGUUAAAAGUUAUGAGCCAUUCAAAAUGGUAUAAGAAAAAUAAAUGUAAGUCUUUUGUUGGGGGAGGGAAUCUCUCAUGCAGCGCCUCUCUCCUUCUCACUCUCCCCAGGCAAAAAAACUGCAGUUGUAGACCCCCCCUCAGUUUGUAUUAUUAAUGUGUAUUCGUUUGAGAUAAACAUUGGCAUCUUAUACAAUCAAAGGUAGCACUAAUCAUAAAGCAGAGUGCAAUGGCGAAGGAUCUGCCAGUACAUAGCAUUACCGCGCAAUUUUUCACUUUACACUCGGUUCUAACCCUUGCGCCGCGCCGCCGCUUCCCUGCUUGGCCACCAUCCAGGCUGCUGCCGUCUACCAUCCGCCGGCCUUGGCUGUGGAGCCUUACACAGACCACCGACAUCCCCCCCAACUUCUCUAGGAAGCCCCCAGCUCCCCUGGUCCUGGCUGCCGCCCUUCUGUGCGCCAGUGCACGGAUCCGGCCCUUGUCGUGCUGCUCCGUUGUUGCCGGCUUGCCGCUGUUCACCGACGUGCGUUGUCCCCUGCUUCCCUGCCUAACUGGUUGCCUGGUGCUGAGUCCUGAAUGCCUUUUGCCUUACCUUACCUUGGUGUCUUUCCAGUUGUACUGUGUUCUUCACUUUUGCAGUACUUCUGUGUAUGAAGUAGACAAGUAGUGAACGAACUGAAAUUGAAUUGAAAGUGUGUGUGUGUGUGUGUGUGUGUGUGUGUGUGUGUGUGUGUGUGUGUGUGUGUGUGCCAGUCGUAUAUGCAUAUGCAGGGUAUUGUUGAACCCAUUUUAAUGUAUUGUAUUUUCCAAUUUCAUUUCAUGUUGUAGAAAUAGAAAAUGAAGAUAUAUUUUUAUUGGUGCCCAUAACGGGAGUGUUUGCACCUAUCAUUUAAUAUCGAGGGAAUCAAACAGCCGAGGGGACUGAAUCAACACCACAAAUUGGAACAACGGUAGCGUAACAAUAUUGGUAUGGCUGCUCCUGCCCAUGUUCAAUUUGGUGAAGGUGAAUAGAUGAUAUAUUGUUUUCAAUCAUUUUGGUCUCUCAAAGGGGUUUAGUCUCGUCAAAGUGGUAAGUUUUUAAUUUGUAUCAAUGAUAGUAAUUAGUUCACUUGAUAUUUAUGCCUUUUCUUAUGGACGCACACUUUUACUGCCCUAAAGGUGUUGGUUCCUCUACCAUUGAUCAAGUUAUGGGAGGCACACAUGAGGUAACCAAUUGAUUUGGUACUUUUUUGUAUCCCCAUAUUAUUAUCUGUACCUAUGUCAUGUUUUAUCUAUUAUGUUGGAUCAUUGAGCAUUGAGUUUACAUUCUAUAUUUAUUGAGAAUUUAACUUUAUUUUGUUUGUUUUGCAUGUGGUAUUUUUCCAAAAAUGUUAUGAAAUAUUUCGGGUAGUUAUAAUACCAAAAAAAAAAUCCAUGUUACCAAGAAAAUUUUGGCCCGGGAUUUUCUUUUUUUCUGGCUCCACUACUGAGCCUAGGUGUGGUAUUCGUGCUAUGCUCGUUGUUCGCGGCGAGUGGUAAUCUUCUUGUACUUACAAUUCUGCCUUCUCUAAAGCUAUGGUACACAUAGGCGUACUCGGAAAAAAAAUCACGCAUGGUAAAGGGCCUUGAGGGCCAGCCCGAUAAGCAAAUGCAAUAAAAGGCUGGCGCGUCCAUGGAAAAUGAGUGCCCACACAAAGGUACAACUGAGUUUACUCUGAUGCCAAAAUGUCAAUGCUCAAUCUCAAGAAUAACCUAAUCUAAAAAAAUCAAGAAUAAUCUGGAAUUAAACCUUAGAAAAGAAAAAAAACUGUUGUGAUUUUAUCAUGAAAAAUGAAACGUUGCAAUGACUAGCACCAUAAAAAUAUAUUUUGGUUAUGUCCAUGUGCACAGUUAUGUACUACAUUUAAGAUCAAGAAGGACGACACUACAAAAAUAGACAUUUUGGUAAUGUUUAUAUAUGUGCAAUUAUAUGGUACAUUUAAGAUCAAGAACAACGCCACUCCCCGCCAGCUGGAAACACUUAAGUGCCAUUAUGUUGAGAGAGCAAUUUUUUUUUUGGAUCGGUCUUUAUUGGGUUUACCUAUUAUUUUAGUGACAUAUAAAUGCAGUACAUUGAAAGGGUAUAAGACAACUCUUUGGCUACGUUACAAGCAAAAUAGAUAUAGCACAUUGAAAGGGUAUAAAGACUACGUUACAAGCAAACAAAAUAUAGCACAUUGAAAGGGUAUAAGAAAAUUCUUUGGCUGCGUUACAAGCAAAAAAAAUAUAGCACAUUGAAUGGGUAUAAAGACUACGUUACAAGAAAAAUAAAUAUAGCACAUUGAAAUGGUAUAAGAUAAAUAUUUGGCUACGUUACAAGCAAAAUAAAUUUAGCACAUUGAAAGGGUAUAAGAUAAUUCUUUGGCUACGUUACAAGCAAAAUAAAAAUAGCACAUUGAAAGGGUAUGCGAAAUUUAAUGCGCCCAUCAAGAUGCAUUGAGAACUCUAUUUGGCAUGUAAUUAAACCCACAACUAAUGAAAACAUGUUGUAUUCCUUGCAUGUACCUUACAAAGGUUCAAGUAGUAAUCGCUACAAGUUUGAUCUGACCUCUAAACUCUCCCACAAUUUGGAUCCAUGAUGCUAUUCAUCACUUGAUAAGGUUAGUGAUGGCUGUGCAGACGAUCGCUAUCUGCAAGGAGUAGAGGCUACGUUGCUUGAGAGGCGAUGGGACGGCGGCCUUCACAAAGGCAUCGUCGCACUGGUGCGCCAGGGAGACGGCCUUUGCUGCCUCCUCCUUCCCCAUGGCGUAAUUCCGGCCGUUGAUCUCAUCGUAGGCUCCGGCAAACGCGAACUUCAUGUUG
rnacentral:lncRNA from 1 species